rnacentral:tRNA from 1 species
AGAGGGCUAGUCCAAAAAAGACCUCUGAUUUCGGCUCAGAAAAUCGUGGUUAGACCCCACGGCCCCCUU